GAUGAACGCUGGCGGCGUGCCUAAUACAUGCAAGUCGAGCGAACGGACGAGAAGCUUGCUUCUCUGAUGUAGCGGCGGACGGGUGAGUAACCCGUGGAUAACCUACCUAUAAGACUGGGAUAACUUCGGGAAACCGUAGCUAAUACCGGAUAAUAUUUUGAACCGCAUGGUUCAAAAGUGAAAGACGGUCUUGCUGUCACUUAUAGAUGGAUCCGCGCUGCAUUAGCUAGUUGGUAAGGUAACGGCUUACCAAGGCAACGAUGCAUAGCCGACCUGAGAGGGUGAUCGGCCACACUGGAACUGAGACACGGUCCAGACUCCUACGGGAGGCAGCAGUAGGGAAUCUUCCGCAAUGGGCGAAAGCCUGACGGAGCAACGCCGCGUGAGUGAUGAAGGUCUUCGGAUCGUAAAACUCUGUUAUUAGGGAAGAACAUAUGUGUAAGUAACUGUGCACAUCUUGACGGUACCUAAUCAGAAAGCCACGGCUAACUACGUG
rnacentral:rRNA from 1 species